CAAUAGCGUAUAUUAAAGUUGUUGCAGUUAAAAAGCUCGUAGUUGGAUUUGUGGCUGUCACGGGCGGCCUAUCACUUAGUGUUAGUGCUUGCCUGUGUCGCCAUCCUUGGGUGGAGCCCGUGUGGCAUUAGGUUGUCGUGCGGGGGAUGCCCAUCGUUUACUGUGAGAAAAUUAGAGUGUUCAAAGCAGGCUUAUGCCAUUGAAUAUGUUAGCAUGGAAUAAUAAGAUAGGACCUCGGUACUAUUUUGUAGGUUUGCGCACCGAGGUAAUGAUUAAUAGGGACAGUUGGGGGUAUUCGUAUUUCAUUGUCAGAGGUGAAAUUCUUGGAUUUCUGAAAGACGAACUACUGCGAAAGCAUUUACCAAGGAUGUUUUCAUUAA
rnacentral:rRNA from 1 species